CUCCCAGUCAGAGUUCUGUGUUGCCUCCGUUGCUCUAAAAUUACACCUAUGGAGCUGCAGCCCCGACUACCACCAGCUUGCUCAUCCCUCUACUCACACAGUCACCCCUCCCCUCACUCUCAUGUAUGCUUCACCUGUG